rnacentral:pre_miRNA from 7 species
UCCCACACCCUCACCUGGCUGAGCCGCAGUAGUUCUUCAGUGGCAAGCUUUAUGUCCUGACCCAGCUAAAGCUGCCAGUUGAAGAACUGUUGCCCUCUGCCCCUGGCUUCGUGGAGGAAG